rnacentral:rRNA from 1 species
AUUGAACGCUGGCGGCAGGCUUAACACAUGCAAGUCGAACGAGUGGCGGACGGGUGAGUAAUGCUUGGGAAUCUAGCUUAUGGCGGGGGAUAACUACGGGAAACUGUAGCUAAUACCGCGUACCAUAGGAUGAUCCCAAGUGGGAUUAGGGAGGUGGUGAGGUAAAGGCUCACCAAGGCGACGAUCUCUAGCUGGUCUGAGAGGAUGACCAGCAACAAGGGAACGGAGACACGGCCCAGACUCCGACGGGAGGCAGCAGUGGGGAAUAUGGGGCAAUGGGCGCAAGCUGACGGAGCCACGCCGCGUGAGUGAAGAAGGCCUUCGGGUUGUAAAGUUCUUUAAGUAGGGAGGCGUUAACGACAGAAGAAGCACCGGCUAACUCCGUGCCAGCAGCCGCGGUAAGUC